rnacentral:rRNA from 1 species
AACGGGUCAAAAAAUAACGCCGUCCGAUCCCUAAUCGGCAUAGUUUAUGGUUAAGACUACGACGGUAUCUGAUCGUCUUCGAUCCCCUAACUUUCGUUCCUGAUUAAUGAAAACAUCCUUGGCAAAUGCUUUCGCAGUAGUUAGUCUUCAAUAAAUCCAAGAAUUUCACCUCUGACAAUUGAAUACUGAUGCCCCCGACUGUCCCUAUUAAUCAUUACGGCGGUCCUAGAAACCAACAAAAUAGAACCACACGUCCUAUUCUAUUAUUCCAUGCUAAUGUAUUCGAGCAUAGGCCUUCUUUAAGCGAUCUAAUUUGUUCAGAGUAAAAGUCCUGGUUCCCCGGCACACCCAGUGAAGGGCAUGCGGUUCUCCAGAAGGAAAGACCCAGCCGAGCCAGUGCACGCGGUGAGGCGGACCGGCCGGCUAGGCCCAAGGUUCAACUACGAGCUUUUUAACCUCAACAACUUUAAUAUACGCUAUUGGAGCUGGAAUUACCGCGGCUGCUGGCACCAGACUUGCCCUCCAAUUGUUCCUCGUUAAGGGAUUUAAAUUGUACUCAUUCCAAUUACAAGACCCGAAAGAGCCCUGUAUCAGUAUUUAUUGUCACUACCUCCCCGUGUCGGGAUUGGGUAAUUUGCGCGCCUGCUGCCUUCCUUGGAUGUAGUAGCCGUUUCUCAGGCUCCUU